rnacentral:rRNA from 1 species
UACAGAGGUCUCAAGCGUUGUUCGGAUUCAUUGGGCGUAAAGGGUGCGCAGGCGGCGAGGCAAGUCGGACGUGAAAUCCCGGGGCUUAACCCCGGAACUGCGUUCGAUACUGCUUUGCUUGAGGACUGGAGAGGAGACUGGAAUUCCUGGUGUAGCAGUGAAAUGCGUAGAUAUCAGGAGGAACGCCAAUGGCGAGGGCAAGUCUCUGGACAGUUCCUGACGCUCAUGCACGAAGGCCAGGGGAGCAAACGGG